rnacentral:rRNA from 1 species
UACGUAGGGGGCGAGCGUUGUCCGGAAUCAUUGGGCGUAAAGCGCGUGUAGGCGGCCCGGUAAGUCCGCUGUGAAAGUCCAGGGCUCAACCCUGGGAUGCCGGUGGAUACUGUCGGGCUCGAGUCCGGAAGAGGCGAGUGGAAUUCCUGGUGUAGCGGUGAAAUGCGUAGAGAUCAUGAGGAAGACCAGUGGCGAAGGCGGGUCUCUGGACAGUUCCUGACACUGAGACACGAAGGCCAGGGGAGCAAACGGG